rnacentral:rRNA from 1 species
AUUGAACGCUGGCGGCUGGCUUAACACAUGCAAGUCGAGCGGGGUGAUGGUGCUUGCACUAUCACUUAGCGGCGGACGGGUGAGUAAUGCUUAGGAAUCUGCCUAUUAGUGGGGGACAACAUCUCGAAAGGGAUGCUAAUACCGCAUACGUCCUACGGGAGAAAGCAGGGGAUCACUUGUGACCUUGCGCUAAUAGAUGAGCCUAAGUCGGAUUAGCUAGUUGGUGGGGUAAAGGCCUACCAAGGCGACGAUCUGUAGCGGGUCUGAGAGGAUGAUCCGCCACACUGGGACUGAGACACGGCCCAGACUCCUACGGGAGGCAGCAGUGGGGAAUAUUGGACAAUGGGGGGAACCCUGAUCCAGCCAUGCCGCGUGUGUGAAGAAGGCCUUAUGGUUGUAAAGCACUUUAAGCGAGGAGGAGGCUUACCUAGUUAAUACCUGGGAUAAGUGGACGUUACUCGCAGAAUAAGCACCGGCUAACUCUGUGCCAGCCGCCGCAGUAA